rnacentral:rRNA from 1 species
CAGUAGCCACGGGAACACGGAGGGUGCAAGCGUUAAUCGGAAUUACUGGGCGUAAAGCGCACGCAGGCGGUCUGACAAGUCAGAUGUGAAAUCCCCGGGCUUAACCUGGGAACUGCAUUUGAAACUGUCAGGCUGGAGUCUUGUAGAGGGGGGUGGAAUUCCAGGUGUAGCGGUGAAAUGCGUAGAGAUCUGGAGGAAUACCGGUGGCGAAGGCGGCCCCCUGGACAAAGACUGACGCUCAGGUGCGAAAGCGUGGGGAGCAAACAGGAUUAGAGACCCCGGUAGUCCCUGUCUCUUAUAC